rnacentral:rRNA from 1 species
UGACGUCAAGUCAUCAUGGCCCUUAUGUCCAGGGCGACACACGUGCUACAAUGGCCGGCACAGCGGGAAGCGGAGGGGCGACCCUGAGCGGAUCCCUUGAAAAGCCGGUCCCAGUUCGGAUUGCAGUCUGCAACUCGACUGCAUGAAGUUGGAAUCGCUAGUAAUCGCGGAUCAGCCAAGCCGCGGUGAAUACGUUCCCGGGCCUU